rnacentral:misc_RNA from 1 species
UACAAAAUAUGGAAAAAGAACACUCCUUUUCUUUACGAUCUGGUCAUCACCCAUGCCCUCGAGUGGCCCUCCCUUACCGUCGAGUGGUUACCAGACCGCGAGGAGCCUCCUGGUAAGGAUUACUCCGUACAGAAGAUGAUUCUUGGCACCCACACCUCCGAGAACGAGCCCAACUACCUCAUGCUUGCCCAGGUCCAGCUUCCCCUCGAUGAUGCCGAAAACGAUGCCCGUCAAUACGAUGACGACCGCUCUGAUUUUGGUGGCUUCGGAGCUGCCAACGGCAAGGUCCAAAUAAUUCAGCAAAUCAAUCACGAUGGAGAGGUUAACAGGGCUCGUUAUAUGCCUCAAAACCCUUUUAUUAUUGCCACCAAAACUGUUAGUGCUGAAGUUUAUGUCUUUGACUACAGCAAACACCCAUCUAAGCCCCCUCUUGAUGGUGCUUGUAC